rnacentral:lncRNA from 1 species
UUCAUUCCUUGUUCCAUAUGAUAGAACUCAACACAUCUGGUAUGCUAUGAAAAGCAUCUUUGCACUAAUUUGUUUGUCAGUAUCUAUUGAAAGGACUAUCUGUCAUCCUGUCGUAUUUUGGUUGCCCUGAGAUGUCUGAAGACAAGACUAGUCACAAAUUGCGACUGCUGGCCACUUGGGACUAGCUGGUAGAAACCACCAGCUGUUCCAAGUAUCAUCAGUGGCGGAUUUGUUUCUUUUUGUAUUUUCUAUAAAUGGGAAUUUCAGUGUAAUCUCUUCUUGGGCAUUUUGUAUUUGAAAGAAGAAACCAAAUCACUUGAGUAAGAACAGGCUGUUUGUUCUUGCUGUCUGUGUGCACAUUUCCUUCUGUUUCUACAACCGGGAUGGAAAUGCAGCUGCUUCAAGUAACCCUGCAGCAUGUUGAUUUAUUACUGACUAUAUACUCGUUCAAGGAGAAGAUUCCUUAAGAAGACAUUCUACACCCAGCUCCAUAUUUCUUGCUACAUAGCACUUUAUAUUAAUCUCACCAUAUCUGUAUCCAUGAAAUUUGGGAGGAAGAAAUGGAAAAUCAGGUUUUGCUAGUUGAACAGCUUUGUCCUAUGUCCUCUGCUCAAGAGCAUACCGAGAAAAUUGUGACAGCCCUGAGACUGCUGACAUCUCCGAAAAAAUAUGACAUUUGUCCCUGGAGCACCAGUUGGAUAUGACCUGGGCACUCUGCAGACACAGCAAGGCCUGUUCUGUGCAGCAGUUGUUAUUUUGCCACUAACCUAGUAGCAAUUCCAGAAGGCAAGGAGUACUGCAGACUGCUUGUUAUUGGGAUCUGCAAAUGCACAGAGAGAAGUUGGGAGACUUUAAUGGCACCAGCUGCAGCAGAUCUUCAUUUGGGCCCUCUGUCAGGACCUAGUGUUUAAACAAGGAGCCUGUUAAUCAUUUCUGGAAAACUUCAAUUUCAUUUGAAAGCCAGCAAAUGGAUCUUAAAAUGCAC